GACGAAGGAUGCAAGCGUUAUCCGGAUUUAUUGGGUUUAAAGGGAGCGUAGGUGGCCUUAUAAGUCAGCGGUGAAAGACUAGAGCUUAACUCUGGAAUUGCCAUUGAUACUGUAGGGCUUGAGUAUAGUUGCUGUGGGCGGAAUAUGACAUGUAGUGGUGAAAUACUUAGAGAUGUCAUAGAACACCGAUUGCGAAGGCAGCUCACAAAACUAUAACUGACACUGAGGCUCGAAAGCUAGGGGAGCAAACAGG
rnacentral:rRNA from 1 species